CAACUGUGUGAAUUAAUGUGAACUGCAUACUGCUUUGAACAUCGACAUCUUGAACGCAUAUUGCGGCCACGGGUUUUCCUGUGGCCACGCCUGUCCGAGGGUCGGCUUAUAAACUAUCGCGACGCCCAAAAAGUCGCGGCUUGGGUUUUGCCAGCUGGCGUGAUUUCCCCUAUGUGGCCUCGUGUCACUGUGGGGUGCCAGAUCUAUGGCGUUUCCCUAAUGUACCCG
rnacentral:rRNA from 4 species